rnacentral:rRNA from 1 species
UACGGAGGAUGCGAGCGUUAUCCGGAUUUAUUGGGUUUAAAGGGUGCGUAGGCGGACGCUUAAGUCAGCGGUAAAAUUGCGGGGCUCAACCUCGUCGAGCCGUUGAAACUGGGUGCCUUGAGUGGGCGAGAAGUACGCGGAAUGCGUGGUGUAGCGGUGAAAUGCAUAGAUAUCACGCAGAACUCCGAUUGCGAAGGCAGCGUACCGGCGCCCAACUGACGCCGAAGCACGAAGGCGUGGGUAUCGAACAGG